UAAUCGGACAUCCCUUUUUCCUGAAAAAUAUAAAGACAUAACAACAACACAAAGCAGUCCAAUCUAGAUCUAUUAGAUUCUGCGCGGACACGGGAAACUGAUGAAGACAAACGGUGAGAGGCUGCGAGUGAUACGGCGUUGUUGAUUGGGGUUUGACGGAAGCGUUUUGGGGCUUUUCCUACGGUGGAUGAAGAGGGUUUGAGCGUGGGUUUUGAAGAGGCGGAAGUUGUGUGGAGCUUGACGGUGGUGAAUGAAAAUGGAGAGGAGGCGGCGGCUGGGGGUUUGAUGGUGGUGCGAUUUCGAGCGGUGGAGGGUUUAAGGUGGUGGAGAAUCGUGAAUGUGAGAUUGAUGAUGAAGAAUGAAGGGUGGCGGCGAGGGUUUUCGCUGGGGGUUAGCGAUUUUUUAGUGAAAUUAUGAAUGAGAUGAGUGUUUUGUGAGCGAGAGAUUCUGAAGGAUUCUUUCGUGUGAGAGAUAAAGGUUGUUGUGAGUGGCCAGUGAGGUGGGAGGGAUUUGAGAGAGUGAAUGUGUGAGCAGAGAGUGAGAGAGAAACGGAUUUAAGGAGAGUUGAGAGAGAGUGGUAGCGCGUGUGUGGCGAGUGUGCUAUGAG
rnacentral:lncRNA from 1 species